UACGGAGGGUGCAAGCGUUAAUAGGAAUUACUGGGCGUAAAGCGUACGUAGGCGGCUUGUUAAGCAAGAUGUGAAAUCCCCGGGCUCAACCUGGGAAUGGCAUUUUGAACUGGCAGGCUCGAGUUCUGAAGAGGGUGGUAGAAUUUCCAGUGUAGCGGUGAAAUGCGUAGAUAUUGGAAGGAAUACCGGUGGCGAAGGCGGCCACCUGGUCAGAAACUGACGCUGAGGUACGAAAGCGUGGGGAGCAAACAGG
rnacentral:rRNA from 1 species